AUGCAGUGAUGAUCCUUUUAAGUGGUGGUUUCAAUUCACUGAGUGUUGAGUGAAGACCUGUAUUUCCUUGGCUGUGUCUGAGCAU
rnacentral:snoRNA from 1 species